AACGAACGCUGGCGGCAUGCCUAACACAUGCAAGUCGAACGAGACCUUCGGGUCUAGUGGCGCACGGGUGCGUAACGCGUGGGAACCUGCCCUUAGGUUCGGAAUAACUCCCCGAAAGGGGUGCUAAUACCGGAUAAUGUCUUCGGACCAAAGAUUUAUCGCCUUUGGAUGGGCCCGCGUUGGAUUAGCGAGUUGGUAGGGUAAAAGCCUACCAAGGCGAGGAUCCAUAGCUGGUCUGAGAGGAUGAGCAGCCACACUGGGACUGAGACACGGCCCAGACUCCUACGGGAGGCAGCAGUGGGGAAUAUUGGACAAUGGGCGAAAGCCUGAUCCAGCAAUGCCGCGUGAGUGAUGAAGGCCUUAGGGUUGUAAAGCUCUUUUACCCGGGAUGAUAAUGACAGUACCGGGAGAAUAAGCUCCGGCUAACUCCGUG
rnacentral:rRNA from 1 species